UGCUACACUCUAAUGUGGUGAAAUCCCUAUUGGUGAUGAGCUCCCUUCCUCUGCGACUUGUGAAGUCCCCUGCUCUUCCUUUUGUAAUGCACCCCGACUUGUAUCCAUGCAAAUCCUUCAUGCUUAUAUAUCCCACCCAACGUGCAUGGCCACCUUUUACCUCUUCCAUACCUACCACACUCUCAUGCCUCCACUUUCUAUGGUAACCCAUGUAUUCAAUGCU
rnacentral:lncRNA from 1 species